UGAGCCGUGGCCGCCACCGCCGCCGCCGCCGCCGCCGCCGCCGCCUUAUGUUUGUGUGCGCCGGAUUGUAUAUAUGGGUCAAGAGCCACGGCGCGCGCUUAACUCGUUCCAAUUAAUAGAACGCCACUCUAUACAUAUAUCGAGUUCGGUGCAGUUCGUAUAUAUUAUGUGUAGCACGCGUGACACAUCAUCGAAACUACAUUAUGUGAUCUGCACAUCACAGCUGUCAUGUCGUCAUAUUUUGGACCGGGCAAUAUAUAUACAAACGUGCAAUGUAUACAUUUUGCGCAUAUAAAACCCGAUAUUAUUGGCCCACUUCUCAAAUAGGUUCACCCAAAAAAUGGAUAAAGUCUAUAGACUGAAUUUUCUGCAUAGAAAUAUGCGUAGGUAUACCCAUAUCCAAUAUGGAAAAAAUGUAAAUGACGGACGCUGCAGUUCAUACACGAUUUCGCCUAUGAUUGUGAUGGUCGACGACGGAAAAAUCAAAAAGAUUCAAUCGCCGUCGAGGAUGGUGCAGCAUGCCGAACAUCAUCCAUCGGGCAGACAGAAUUUUUUUCCCCCGUUCAUCGACGGCCGCGAGCUCGGGUUCUCGCCAAAAACGAUUAUUGCCCGGCCUAUCCGGCGGAGAUUGUUUUUAUUAACGCGCGUAUAAAUAAUAGUUUAUUAUGUGUAUUGUGCGUAUAGUGUACAUCGUAUAAUUAUUAUAUAAUAUAGGAACACACGCCGUAAAUGCGAAUACCCUUGAAAAUCGACAUAAUCGCAGCGAUCACACGUUUGUGUGUGUACUACUUUGAAAUUCUAAUCCGGUAACGGCGAAACUUUGAUGAGCAAAAGUAAAAUGGCUUUACAAUUUUUAUAAAGCGUUUGAGGUACGAUGAGAAGGAAGUAAGGAACUAUAAAAAGGAGUAGUGCGUUGUGCGUUACAAUUCUCUAUAUAGAGUACUAAAUAACUUAUAAUAUAAUUUAUUCAUCAAAAAUGAUUAAAUUGAUUUGAACUUCAAAAAUGCAUUUAAAUUUAUAAUAUAUUAUUAUGUUAAUAUGUCAUGAACUUAUAAGCUAUAUCGGGUAAAGAUGCAAUACUAAAUAUCAUUUAUCGACUUUUUGGAAACUUAAUCUACUAAAAAAUAUAAUAUCAUAUAAAUACUUUCUCAGCAUACCAUCGUAUUACUAUACCUACGCAUAGACUAUAGAUAUAUGGUUCUAUUUAAUAUUCAUACCUAUAUUGUAGUAUUAAUAUAUUUAUUAGAAACGUCAAUAUUCAAUAAACAUUAAUUUAUAAAUUAUAAUAUUAAAAUUGAUAUUGUACAUUUUCUUUUAUCUUCAAUAGAUUACUACGUACGUCGUACAUUGUAAUUUUUCUCGUUCGCCUACACACAUGACAGACGAUUUCAAAUCCGUUGUCGACAGGCAAUAUUUUCCAAACAAUCUGUAUCCGAGUUACUGAAACGAUUGUUUUUACGACUAGAAUACUAUACCACAGAAAAAUAUACAUUACCCAUAGUAUUCAUAUAAUAUAUAUUAUAUAUACAGUGAUCUUAAACAUGUAUUGAAUACUUAAUAAUUUAAAUAAUAUAUAUUAUACUAAUAAAUUGUGACACAUCAAUUAUCAGUACAUAGUGGAUAUUAUUUAAAAAUGAAGUUAUAGACAGAAAACUGGUAAAUAAUAAA